rnacentral:rRNA from 1 species
AGGGAAAGGCGAAAAGCACUUUGGAAAGAGAGUUAAAAGACUUGAAAUCGUUGCUUUGGAAGCCGUGCGUCCAUACUGGCCCAAUCCAAGGCUUCAUUCCGUGAAGGUAUGGAGAGGGCUCUCCUGGGCGGACCGUCCCGUCUUGAAACACGGGCCAAGGAGUCUAUCUCAGUCGCGAGUCAAACA